UUAACACAUGCAAGUCGAGGGGCAGCAUGGUCUUAUCUUGCUAAGGCCGAUGGCGACCGGCGCACGGGUGAGUAACGCGUAUCCAACCUGCCUUACACUCUUGGACAGCCUUCUGAAAGGGAGAUUAAUACAAGAUGUUAUCAUGAGUAAGCAUUUUCGCAUGAUUAAAGGUUUACCGGUGUAAGAUGGGGAUGCGUUCCAUUAGAUAGUAGGCGGGGUAACGGCCCACCUAGUCUUCGAUGGAUAGGGGUUCUGAGAGGAAGGUCCCCCACAUUGGAACUGAGACACGGUCCAAACUCCUACGGGAGGCAGCAGUGAGGAAUAUUGGUCAAUGGACGAGAGUCUGAACCAGCCAAGUAGCGUGAAGGAUGAAGGUUCUAUGGAUUGUAAACUUCUUUUAUACGGGAAUAAACGAAUCCACGUGUGGAUUUUUGCAUGUACCGUAUGAAUAAGGAUCGGCUAACUCCGUGCCAGCAGCCGCGGUAAUACGGAGGAUCCGAGCGUUAUCCGGAUUUAUUGGGUUUAAAGGGAGCGUAGAUGGGUUGUUAAGUCAGUUGUGAAAGUUUGCGGCUCAACCGUAAAAUUGCAAUUGAUACUGGCAGUCUUGAGUACAGUUGAGGUAGGCGGAAUUCGUGGUGUAGCGGUGAAAUGCUUAGAUAUCACGAAGAACUCCGAUUGCGAAGGCAGCUUACUAACCUGUAACUGACAUUGAUGCUCGAAAGUGUGGGUAUCAAACAGGAUUAGAUACCCUGGUAGUCCACACGGUAAACGAUGAAUACUCGCUGUAGGCGAUAUACAGUCUGCGGCCAAGCGAAAGCAUUAAGUAUUCCACCUGGGGAGUACGCCGGCAACGGUGAAACUCAAAGGAAUUGACGGGGGCCCGCACAAGCGGAGGAACAUGUGGUUUAAUUCGAUGAUACGCGAGGAACCUUACCCGGGCUUAAAUUGCAACCGAAUAUGGCGGAAACGCUAUAGCUAGCAAUAGCGGUUGUGAAGGUGCUGCAUGGUUGUCGUCAGCUCGUGCCGUGAGGUGUCGGCUUAAGUGCCAUAACGAGCGCAACCCUUGCCGAUAGUUACUAACAGGUCAUGCUGAGGACUCUGUCGGGACUGCCAUCGUAAGAUGUGAGGAAGGUGGGGAUGACGUCAAAUCAGCACGGCCCUUACGUCCGGGGCUACACACGUGUUACAAUGGGGGGUACAGAGGGCUGCUACCACGCAAGUGGAUGCCAAUCCCAAAAACCUCUCUCAGUUCGGAUUGAAGUCUGCAACCCGACUUCAUGAAGCUGGAUUCGCUAGUAAUCGCGCAUCAGCCACGGCGCGGUGAAUACGUUCCCGGGCCUUGUACACACCGCCCGUCAAGCUAUGGGAGCCGGGGGUACCUGAAGUGCGUAACCGCAAGGAGCGCCCUAGGGUAAAACUGGUGACUGGGGCUAAGUCGUA
rnacentral:rRNA from 1 species